UGGGUUUUUUUGUUUUUUUUUUAGUUUUCUUGUUUAAUUGUAUUUUUAGAAUGUGCCGAGGGCCAAUCAACAGCUGCAGGGCUGCAAAUGGUCCCUGGGCUGCACUUUGGACACUACUGGUCUAAAAAUUCCAGAUGGUGUCCUACCUUGACCCUGGCGGCCCGCUCCACAUCACUGGGCAUGUCCAGCAGUUCAUCCACAUCUAUCUCCAGUUCCGGGAUGGCCUCCUCCUGGGAAAGACAGAAGAAAAGAACACUGAGCAAGCCUUGAAUAAACACUGGAUAGCGCUAGGAACCUCUUUCAGGCAGAAAUAACUCAUCAACUCAGUCAAUUGUGGUCUUUUAGUCCCCCUUUCCUCCUUCCAGUGAGCUACCUGACCGCUAGAGGGCGAAGUGUUUCCAUGAGGAGCGAGGAUGGUCAAACGGGGUGAAGAAGCUGACAUUUGGAGCUCUACGGAGAUUUAUUGAUUCUGAGGGAAAACAUCCAGUAGCUGACAUGGAUUUUACAGGAAUCUCACUCUCGGCCCAAGUUGCCCACACCAGCUGUCUCCGCACCUGCCCAGUGCCACCACCACACACACACACACACACACACCGACCAGCUCCAUGUGUGUCAUAUCAACCAAAUCCUCAUUUUUUAUGUGGAAACUCUUCACCACCAGUCACACACAGUAUCUGUUACACACGUGGAGAUUAAAAAGCCCCGGCUGCAGUGUGUGUAUGUGUGUUUGUGUAAAUGCAGGGUGGCUAAUAUGGAUUACAUUCUGAGCCUGUGCGUGUGCACGUGUGCGCGUGUGUGCACAUGUGUGAUAUGCACACAACAAGAGCAUUUAUAAAGUAGCAGCAAAGUAUUAGGAGACAUUUUCACAGCCAGACAGGCUGGUAUCAGCAUGUGGCCACCAUGUGCUACUAGAAAACAAUAAAAAUGAUGUCCGGAGAACAAAAAGAUGAAAGACUCAAAUCAUUUUUAUGGGCAUCGUGCAAGAAAUCGGAAACUACAGAUGGAAUACACACACAUGUACCACAUACGUGUAGUGGAUUGUUCUUUUCU